rnacentral:lncRNA from 1 species
GUUAGCCCUAUGGUUUCCGGCGAAAAGAAAAUUCGAAAUUUGGUCGCGAGGUCAGUAAAAUCUAACAAAGAAUUAUUCUACUCAUGAAUCAAACUCGAAUUCUCUCCCGAACGAUUCGUCCUUUGGUGGAGCUCAUUGACAACAUGAGUUAAAUUGCUUGGUUGUUAGAAAAACAUUUUUGUGGAAACAAUAAAGAUGAUAUCAUAAUUAAAUGAUUGAACUAAAAUGAUUAAUAAACUCUUUAUAAAAUGAAUCGUUCGGAAAAAUUCGAGUUUGAUUCUUAAAAAACAACUCUUAAUUAGAUUUUACUUAUCGGAAAACAACUCUUAAUAAACUCUUAAUAUACAACGUUAAUUGCUAGCUCGCCUUGUCGGUAUGGUAAUCAUCUUAAGGUAUACCCUAGUUGGCACAGGUUCGAGUCCUAGCAAACAGGGUUGUGUUUGGAUUGAAAUGAUCAAUAAAUAUGAGGUAUUAUAAAAUACCUCUCUUUUUUGUUGCAGAGAUUCCAUUACUUAUAUUUUUGACAUGAGAUUCCAGUGUUAGAACUUUAGAAGGGAUGCCACAAUAUCAUUCAUUUUUAUAUGUUAUUUUCACUACAACUUACAUCUUG